CCUACGGGAGGCAGCAGUGAGGAAUAUUGGACAAUGGGCGCAAGCCUGAUCCAGCCAUGCCGCGUGCAGGAAGACGCAUCUAUGGUGUGUAAACUGCUUUUGUACGGGAAGAAACACUCCCUCGUGAGGGAGCUUGACGGUACCGUAAGAAUAAGGAUCGGCUAACUCCGUGCCAGCAGCCGCGGUAAUACGGAGGAUCCAAGCGUUAUCCGGAAUCAUUGGGUUUAAAGGGUCCGUAGGCGGUUUAAUAAGUCAGUGGUGAAAGCCCAUCGCUCAACGAUGGAACGGCCAUUGAUACUGUUAGACUUGAAUUACUAGGAAGUAACUAGAAUAUGUAGUGUAGCGGUGAAAUGCUUAGAUAUUACAUGGAAUACCAAUUGCGAAGGCAGGUUACUACUAGUGGAUUGACGCUGAUGGACGAAAGCGUGGGGAGCGAACAGGAUUAGAUACCCUGGUAGUCCACGCCGUAAACGAUGGAUACUAGCUGUUGGGCGCAAGUUCAGUGGCUAAGCGAAAGUGAUAAGUAUCCCACCUGGGGAUACGUUCGCAAGAAUGAAACUCAAAUGAGUGNGNGNGAGAGUAGCGACGGACGACACGAGGGAGGAGG
rnacentral:rRNA from 1 species